rnacentral:lncRNA from 1 species
GAGUCACCUUGAAUAAGUACAUGGUUAUCUUCUGCUUUAGACAGAAGGAUAAAAUGAUAGGGCUAGCCUCAGGCUACCCUCAAGAGAUUAGAGACAUGGGAGCUCAAGGAUGGAAGAGAGGAAUAGGAAAGCAGCCCAUCCCUCCUCCAACACUGGGUUUUGGCACAUCUCAUUGACAGGGUUCCUUAGAAAACCGUGCAAUUAAUUCCUCCUUAGGUGAUUUUAAGAGAGACAGAAAAGAAGUAGGCGGUAGAGAAGGGAAAGGAGAACAGGGUAUCUAUAUAUAUAGUCUACUCCCUGGGGCAGGAGCUCUUUAUAGAUAACAAACUCUUAAGUGGAAAGGAGCUGUUUUAUGAACAUACUUUGCCUCUUGGCUUUGGGCCAUGAGAACAUGACAGUAGGCAAAAUGGCUAGGGAUAGAGGGGAGGUCAGGGUGUACAGGGGUAUUGAGAUCAGUCUACAAGCCCUGUUCUAUGCCAGGCCCUGACCUAGGUGCUAAGGGUACAAAAACCAGAAAAAAUGAGACAGUCCCCGUCCUCAAGGUGCUUACCUUCUCUGGGGGGAACAACACAUAUACUUAUAAGCAAAUACCAUACAAAGCCAUCUAUGGGGAGGGGACUCACUAGCAUUUGGGUGAUCAGGAGAGGAGGUCUCAGGAAGGACUUUGCAAUUGAAGCUUUAUAGGAAAGCUAGGGAUUCUGAGAGGGAGAGGGAAAGAGGGAGUGUAUUCCAGGUAUGGAACAGUAGGCAAAAAUCUCAGAACUGGGUGUGAACUGUCUCCAAGCAAUCCUGAUAUUCCACCUAGCCAGAGAAGCUAAAAGAUGGGUGACAUUGGUGUUCGUGGACAGCAGUGACCCGAUGGUGCUCGCUACUUCAGCUCUGCUGGCUUGCAUGCAUUGUGGGUGGCAGUUGGCUGGCAGUUGGUGGGGAUGACGGGUCCCUUUUCCACAGGACUUGCCUACGUGGAAGAUGGCUAUGAGAGCUGGUCUGGGCACAGGACCAGUGAUCUGGGGAGGGCUUUCACCCCCAGGGCUCCUGUGCUUAUCAGUUAUGAAGAGGACAACCAGUGACUUAAGUUGUAGGCAACGUUAUGUGAGAAAACUGGAUUUCCUGCCUCUUUCUGCUCAAUACCCUGAACCAGAACAAUGAAUCAACUGCAGAGUGUCCACUAAGCCUCUCUAUAUUGGUCGAUAUUGCAGAAGUUCUUCCUUUCAGUCUUUAGGCUUGUUUUUUUUUCUUUUUAGAUUCAGAGUC